rnacentral:rRNA from 1 species
AGUGAACGCUGGCGGUAGGCCUAACACAUGCAAGUCGAACGGCAGCACAGUAAGAGCUUGCUCUUACGGGUGGCGAGUGGCGGACGUGUGAGGAAUACAUCGGAAUCUACUUUUUCGUGGGGGAUAACGUAGGGAAACUUACGCUAAUACCGCAUACGACCUACGGGUGAAAGCAGGGGUUCUUCGGACCUUGCGCGAUUGAAUGAGCCGAUGUCGGAUUAGCUAGUUGGCGGGGUAAAGGCCCACCAAGGCGACGAUCCGUAGCUGGUCUGAGAGGAUGAUCAGCCACACUGGAACUGAAACACGGUCCAGACUCCUACGGGAGGCAGCAGUGGGGAAUAUUGGACAAUGGGCGCAAGCCUGAUCCAGCCAUACCGCGUGGGUGAAGAAGGCCUUCGGGUUGUAAAGCCCUUUUGUUGGGAAAGAAAAGCAGCAGGUUAAUACCCCGCUGUUCUGACGGUACCCAAAGAAUAAGCACCGGCUAACUUCGUG